CACAGGGAGUACUGUUUGCAUCGCAUGCGGGUGUUAAAUGCCCCCAGGGAGUACUGUUUGCAUCACAUGCGGGUGUUAAAUGGCCCCAUUCAGAUCUGUCAUUGGUAAGGGCUUGAGCUAAGGCCGAUUUUUCAAACCGCUUGGAGAUACCUCGCUUGAUCUACUAAGUUAAAGAAAUCUCUGCUGCAAAGAUAAGUUUGGCUUUAUCUUCUCUUUACAAUGCUGGUUUUUUAUGCUUUACUUAAAAUAACAAUUUUUUACAUCGCAUUAGGGUUUGUAUAGUGGAAAGUUUCGUGUAUUUUUGUUGACGCAUUUUUGGCUGAUUUGGAGUUCAUUUGAAAACUUCAACGGGGAGGGGAGGGUAAGGAAUGAAGACACUUCACUGGGGUUUAGCCUUGGCUGUUUCAAGUGGAUUGACUAACAACUUUUCUCUACAUCGCCGGCUUCACCAAAUUCGGCUAAAAUCAAAUUGAAGACCAAUUGUUCGAUCGCUCGCGGUUUAAACAUCGACUAUGAAACACACCAGCGACCGUUCACAACUAUUGUCGAUGUCAUAUAAGGUUGAAGACUUAUUUGUCAUAGUUUGAUUCAUACAAUGUAUUCAUAUUAUUAUUUCUUGCAAUGGCAAGAGGAGAAUUUUUA